UACUGUGCUGUGGAUGUGUGUCUUGUGCAGUGUAAGCAAAGUGAAAGGACUUUCACAUUAUAUUUUGUGAUGGUGUGGUAAUAUAAGGUUGUGAGCUCCAAGUGGAGUUAAGGAAUUGCCAAAGAAAUGAAAACUCUGCAUGGGCCGGAAAUCUGCAUCCCGCACUUCUAAACUCUUCAUAAGAGAUAUGGCAGUUCGUGAAAGUUAAUAAAUCGAAGAAGAAGAAGAACAGAAAUGACGAUGCUCGACCAUUCAUAUGACUACUCGGCUCAGACAGCCGAGGAGCACGGUCCACCGAUCGGUGACCCUGCCGAGCCGCUAUGGCGGUCACGGCGGAACGCGCGGAUCCUGAGCGCCGUGCAGCGGAUCGGCCGGCGCUCGGCG